CCACAUCCACUGACAGGCCUUGAACGAUCUGUUAUUUUUCUUCUGGUUUGCACUAGGAUGUGAGGGGAAAAAAUCCCUGUACUUUCUAUCUAUCUGUGUAGCGGCCCAAUUGAAUAAGGGAUUACAUCU
rfam:Myotis davidii contig23865, whole genome shotgun sequence.